GCCGGAGGGAAACCGAGUCUUAAUUGGGCGUUAAGUUGCAGGGUAUAGACCCGAAACCCGGUGAUCUAGCCAUGGGCAGGUUGAAGGUUGGGUAACACUAACUGGAGGACCGAACCGACUAAUGUUGAAAAAUUAGCGGAUGACCUGUGGCUGGGGGUGAAAGGCCAAUCAAACCGGGAGAUAGCUGGUUCUCCCCGAAAGCUAUUUAGGUAGCGCCUCGUGAAUUCAUCUCCGGGGGUAGAGCACUGUUUCGGCUAGGGGGCCAUCCCGGCUUACCAACCCGAUGCAAACUGCGAAUACCGGAGAAUGUUAUCACGGGAGACACACGGCGGGUGCUAACGUCCGUCGUGAAGAGGGAAACAACCCAGACCGCCAGCUAAGGUCCCAAAGUCAUGGUUAAGUGGGAAACGAUGUGGGAAGGCCCAGACAGCCAGGAUGUUGGCUUAGAAGCAGCCAUCAUUUAAAGAAAGCGUAAUAGCUCACUGGUCGAGUCGGCCUGCGCGGAAGAUGUAACGGGGCUAAACCAUGCACCGAAGCUGCGGCAGCGAACGUAUCACUUAAAGCGAUUCAGCGGGUUACGAUUGACGGAGCGAAGCGACGUCAAAGCGUAUACAAAGUCGAGUCGGUUUAAGGAUACGUUCGUUGGGUAGGGGAG
rnacentral:rRNA from 1 species